GAGUGCUUCAUGUCAUAGACGGUAACAACUGUCAAGUGUUCUGAUAAGGAGCACAAGAGGUGGAUAAUGUUUGACAGGACUUUUGUGACUACAGAUCAAAGGUCCAAGUGUGUUUUCCUUUCAGAUCCACCUUCAUACUUCAGACAGACUUCUGUCAGUGGGGGAAUGUAAAUCUGAUCCAGGCAUUCUAGUUUGUGGGAGCAUCCUGUCUUCAGCAUCAUGGUGGAAUUGGCUUUCUACCCGGGGGUGGCACUGAUGUAUUUUUUUGGAGUGAUGAAAGCCACACAGGACGAUCAGGUGGAGCUGGAUGACCGUGCGUCAAUGAAUGUGUUCUGUCUGUUCGUGUUGGCACAGCCGCUGUGUCUGGUACUGGGAGGAUACACUGGCAUGGCUACAUACCUCCUCACAGCUCUAGUCUCCUACAACUUCCUGCCUUGGAGGAAAACAAAACAGCCCGCGAAGGUAAAAGAAUCAAAAAAGAAGACAAAGUGAGAACAAGCAACGUAUACUGUAUAAAGAUGGCAAGACAGUAGAUUCAAACAGGUUGCAAAAGAAAAAAAUAUUUAAAGACCAUUUAAAGAAUAAGCAUUCAAUGUGACAAUCUUCUUAUAUGAAUAAAUGAAUGCGUUGCUCAA